rfam:Nicotiana attenuata strain TT chromosome 9, whole genome shotgun sequence.
AUGCGAACUCACACCUGGGGCUGUAGUAGUUCCAAGGGUUGGGCUGUUCGCCCAUUAAAGCGGUACGUGAGCUGGGUUCAGAACGUCGUGAGACGGUUC